AUGAAGAGGAGGGCGGAGGAGAUGAUGUGCAUGAAGCCAGAGAGGAGCUCCACUGAUCUGGCAGGGAGUGUGGAAGCCGGCGGCGGCAAUGGCGACAUAUCAGAGGUACUUCCAUAUAAUAGGGACAUAGUUUCUCAGGAUUUGACCCCGUUUGGGGUAGGGGGUCCGAUUUUGGAUGCUACUAGUAUGGAAACUACUGUGAUUGCGUUGGAUUACAGAGAGAUUUUUUCUCUGAGAGAUAUCAAAGAGAAAGAGGGAAAUCAGGGGAUGAACGUUAUCUGUAUUUUAAAGGAAAAAAGAGAAAUUAGUGCCUCUUUAUUUUGGAAACUGCCCAUUUAUGAUCGUUUAUUUUUUGAUAAAUGCACAAUUCUCAUCAUGCUGCUGGCGUAUUUGGGUGAGGGGAGGAACUAUAUCUACAGCAGAGGGGGGGGGUCUCGAGUCUUCAGCUCUCCAUACACAGCAAGCUUUUCUGUUUUCCUUUUUGAGUUCCUUCCCUGUAAGAGUUGA
rnacentral:rRNA from 1 species